AGAGGAAUUGCUGGGUCAUAUAUGGUAACUCUAUGCUUAAUAUUUUGAGGAAUUUCCAAACCAUUUUCCAAAGUGCCUGAACCAUUUUACAGUUCCACCAACAAU
rnacentral:pre_miRNA from 1 species